rnacentral:rRNA from 1 species
AUAGAGGAAGUAAAAGUCGUAACGGGGUCUCGUUGGUGACAGCGGAGGGAUCAUUACCGAGUUUACAACUCCCAAACCCAUGUGAACAUACCUAUUGUUGCUUCGGCGGGAUUGCCCCGGGCGCCUCGUGUGCCCCGGAUCAGGCGCCCGCCUAGGAAACUCAACUCUUGUUUUAUUUUGGAAUCUUCUGAGUAGUUUUUACAAAUAAAUAAAAACUUUCAACAACGGAUCUCUUGGUUCUGGCAUCGAUGAAGAACGCAGCGAAAUGCGAUAAGUAAUGUGAAUUGCAGAAUUCAGUGAAUCAUCGAAUCUUUGAACGCACAUUGCGCCCGCCAGUAUUCUGGCGGGCAUGCCUGUCUGAGCGUCAUUUCAACCCUCAUGCCCCUAGGGCGUGGUGUUGGGGAUCGGCCAAAGCCCGCGAGGGACGGCCGGCCCCUAAAUCUAGUGGCGGACCCGUCGUGGCCUCCUCUGCGAAGUAGUGAUAUUCCGCAUCGGAGAGCGAUGAGCCCCUGCCGUUAAACCCCCAACUUUCCAAGGUUGACCUCAGAUCAGGUAGGAAUACCCGCUGAACUUAAGCAUAUCAAUAAGCGGAGGA